GCCGGGUGCCGUGGUGCAAGUCUGUAAUCCCAGCAACUCAGGAGGCUGAGACAGGAGCAUCUUGAGUUUAAAACCAGCCUCAGCAAAAGUGAGGUGCUAAACAAUUCAGUGAGACCCUGUCUCUA
rnacentral:sRNA from 1 species